rnacentral:rRNA from 1 species
AAGUCGUAACAAGGUUUCCGUAGGUGAACCUGCGGAAGGAUCAUUAAAGAGACGUUGCCCUUCGGGGUAUACCUCCCCACCCUUUGUUUACCGUACCUUUGUUGCUUUGGCAGGCCCGUCUUCGGACCGCCGGCUUCGGCUGGUCUGCGCCUGCCAGAGGACCCAAAACUCUGUCUGUCUGUGUCGUCUGAGUACUAUAUAAUAGUUAAAACUUUCAACAACGGAUCUCUUGGUUCUGGCAUCGAUGAAGAACGCAGCGAAAUGCGAUAAGUAAUGUGAAUUGCAGAAUUCAGUGAAUCAUCGAAUCUUUGAACGCACAUUGCGCCCUCUGGUAUUCCGGAGGGCAUGCCUGUUCGAGCGUCAUUACAACCCUCAAGCUCUGCUUGGUAUUGGGCUCUGCCGGUCCUGGCAGGCCUCAAAGUCAGUGGCGGUGCCACCCGGCUCCAAGCGUAGUAAUUCUUCUCGCUUCGGAGGNCGCGGUGCGUGCUAGCCAGCAACCCCNAAUUUUUUCAGGUUGANCUCGGAUCAGGUAGGGAUACCCGCUGAACUUAAGCAUAUCAAUAAGCGGAGGAAAAGAAGCCAACAGGGAUUGCCUCAGUAACGGCGAGUGAAGCGGCAACAGCUCAAAUUUGAAAUCUGGCCUCGCGGCCCGAGUUGUAAUUUGUAGAGGAUGCUUCGAGCAUGGUCUGGCCUAAGUUCCUUGGANCAGGACGUCGUAGAGGGUGAGAAUCCCGUAUGCGNCCAGGUGCCUACGCUCAUGUGAAGCUCCUUCGACGAGUCGAGUUGUUUGGGAAUGCAGCUCAAAAUGGGUGGUAAAUUUCAUCUAAAGCUAAAUAUUGGCCAGAGACCGAUAGCGCACAAGUAGAGUGAUCGAAAGAUGAAAAGCACUUUGGAAAGAGAGUUAAACAGUACGUGAAAUUGUUGAAAGGGAAGCGCUUGCAACCAGACUUGCGCGCGGCCGAUCAUCCGGUGUUCUCACCGGUGCACUCGGUCGUGCUCAGGCCAGCAUCGGUUUCGGUGGUUGGAUAAAGGCCCUAGGAAUGUAGCUUCUCUCGGGGAGUGUUAUAGCCUAGGGUGCAAUGCAGCCUACCGGGACCGAGGACCGCGCUUCGGCUAGGAUGCUGGCGUAAUGGUUGUAAGCGACC